AUUGAACGCUGGCGGCAGGCCUAACACAUGCAAGUCGAACGGUAACAGGAUGAAGCUUGCCUCUUUGCUGACGAGUGGCGGACGGGUGAGUGAUGUCCGGCAAACUCCCCGUUGGCGGGGGGGAUCACCUGGAAACGGUAGCUAUAAUACCAUAUAGUCCCAAGACCUAAGAGGGGGACCUUUGGGGCCCUUGCCAUCGGGUGUGCCCAGAUGGGAUUAGCUAGUGGGUGGGGUAACGGCUCACCUAGGCGACGAUCCCUAGCUGGUCUGAGAGGAUGACCAGCCACACUGGAACUGAGACACGGUCCAGACUCCUACGGGAGGCAGCAGUGGGGAAUAUUGCACAAUGGGCGCAAGCCUGAUGCAGCCAUACCGCGUGUAUGAAGAAGGCCUUCGGGUUGUAAAGUACUUUCAUCGGGGAAGAAGGGAGUAAAGUUAAUACCUUUGCUUAUUGACGUUACCCAAAGAAGAAGCACCGGCUAACUCCGUG
rnacentral:rRNA from 1 species